AACGAACGCUGGCGGCAUGCCUAACACAUGCAAGUCGAACGAGACCUUCGGGUCUAGUGGCGCACGGGUGCGUAACGCGUGGGAACCUGCCCUUAGGUUCGGAAUAACUCCCCGAAAGGGGUGCUAAUACCGGAUAAUGUCUUCGGACCAAAGAUUUAUCGCCUUUGGAUGGGCCCGCGUUGGAUUAGCUAGUUGGUAGGGUAAAAGCCUACCAAGGCGACGAUCCAUAGCUGGUCUGAGAGGAUGAUCAGCCACACUGGGACUGAGACACGGCCCAGACUCCUACGGGAGGCAGCAGUGGGGAAUAUUGGACAAUGGGCGAAAGCCUGAUCCAGCAAUGCCGCGUGAGUGAUGAAGGCCUUAGGGUUGUAAAGCUCUUUGACACGGGAUGAUAAUGACAGUACCGGGAGAAUAAGCUCCGGCUAACUCCGUG
rnacentral:rRNA from 1 species